AGUGAACGCUGGCGGUAGGCCUAACACAUGCAAGUCGAACGGCAGCACAGUAAGAGCUUGCUCUUACGGGUGGCGAGUGGCGGACGGGUGAGGAAUACAUCGGAAUCUACUUUUUCGUGGGGGAUAACGUAGGGAAACUUACGCUAAUACCGCAUACGACCUACGGGUGAAAGCAGGGGAUCUUCGGACCUUGCGCGAUUGAAUGAGCCGAUGUCGGAUUAGCUAGUUGGCGGGGUAAAGGCCCACCAAGGCGACGAUCCGUAGCUGGUCUGAGAGGAUGAUCAGCCACACUGGAACUGCGACACGGUCCAGACUCCUACGGGAGGCCGCAGUGGGGAAUAUUGGACAAUGGGCGCAAGCCUGAUCCAGCCAUACCGCGUGGGUGAAGAAGGCCUUCGGGUUGUAAAGCCCUUUUGUUGGGAAAGAAAAGCAGCAGGUUAAUACCCCGCUGUUCUGACGGUACCCAAAGAAUAAGCACCGGCUAACUUCGUG
rnacentral:rRNA from 1 species